rnacentral:pre_miRNA from 1 species
CGGGGAAGGCCGGAUCCUGGGCUGUGUCCCGGUGCCCUGUUCUCCGGGGCGUGCGCUGUUGGAUUCGUGCUCCCACCCCACAGCCCCCU